CGGCUCGGUGCGUCUCCGUUUGCUCUUCAUGUAAAUCGGAGAUUAGCGCCCUUAUCUCCCGGGUCAUCGCUGUUGUCAGCGCAGCCGGGAAACUCCCUCCAAACCCCAACGGCUUCGCUUCUGCUCCCGGAGCCGUCCGUGCGCCCAGAGAAGCGGGGCUCACCCCACAGACCACUCACCCCACGCCUCCAUCUACACCGCAGACCACUCACCCCACGCCUCCAUCUACGCCGCAGACCACUCACCCCACGCCUCCAUCUACGCCGCAGACCAUUCACCCCUGCUGGGAGGACGGCAUCUUCCGGGAACAAAGCCUGUAGGCCCUGAGGCUGGUGGUAAACAGCUCAGGACCGAGUCCCAGAGUCUUAGCUUCCCAUUGAUGUCUCUGAGGGAUUCAGGCUCUGCUUGAUCAAGCUGCUCCUCCAGGAAACACCACAUUCCCCAGUUCCUAGAAAGCCUUGGGUUGUGGGACGGCUUCUGCCAUCGGUCGGGGAGGGCUGCCUGUGUAGGGAGGACACUUUUCUUGGGUGAAAUACCAACUUUCAAGGUAAAGAAUUUCCGUGUCGGGAGACUGACGCCUGUUUUGGGGGUCCUGCCUCUUGGGUUGCGAUGUCGACCCCUCAGAUAAAUUAAAAUUAA
ensembl:lncRNA